CAGAAGGUAGUUUAAUUAAAAUACUAGUUUUGGGGAUUAGAGAAAGAUGUAGUUUAUUUUCUUCUGA
rnacentral:tRNA from 1 species